rnacentral:rRNA from 1 species
AGCUUGCUCUUUUCAGAAUUGAGUGGCAAACGGGUGAGUAACACGUAAACAACCUGCCUUCAGGAUGGGGACAACAGACGGAAACGACUGCUAAUACCGAAUAAGUUCCAAGAGCCGCAUGGCCCAUGGAAGAAAAGGUGGCCUCUACCUGUAAGCUAUCGCCUGAAGAGGGGUUUGCGUCUGAUUAGCUGGUUGGAGGGGUAACGGCCCACCGUGCCUACUACGGGUAGCCGGUCUGAGAGGAUGAACGGCCACACUGGAACUGAGACACGGUCCAGACUCC